rnacentral:rRNA from 1 species
CCUACGGGUGGCAGCAGUCGAGAAUUUUUCUCAAUGGGGGAAACCCUGAAGGAGCGACGCCGCGUGAAGGAUGAAGGUCUUCGGAUUGUAAACUUCUGUCAUUAGAGAACUAGUAUCUGAAGAGGAAGAGACGGCUAACUCUGUGCCAGCAGCCGCGGUAAUACAGAGGUCUCAAGCGUUGUUCGGAUUCAUUGGGCGUAAAGGGUGCGUAGGUGGCAAGGUAAGUUGGAUGUGAAAUCCCGGGGCUUAACCCCGGAACUGCAUUCAAUACUGCCUCGCUCGAGUACUGGAGAGGAGAUUGGAAUUUACGGUGUAGCAGUGAAAUGCGUAGAUAUCGUAAGGAAGACCAGUGGCGAAGGCGGAUCUCUGGACAGUACUGACACUGAGGCACGAAGGCCAGGGGAGCAAACGGGAUUAGAUACCCUUGUAGUC